rnacentral:rRNA from 1 species
AGAGUUUGAUCAUGGCUCAGAUUGAACGCUGCGCAUCCUUACACAUGCAAGUCGAACGGCAGCACGGACUUCGGUCGGGUGGCGAGUGGCGAACGGGUGAGUAAUACAUCGGAACGUGUCCUGGAGUGGGGGGAUAGCCCGGCGAAAGCCGGAUUAAUACCGCAUACGCUCUGAGGAGGAAAGCGGGGGAUCUUCGGACCUCGCGCUCAAGGGGCGGCCGAUGGCAGAUUAGCUAGUUGGUGGGGUAAAGGCCUACCAAGGCGACGAUCUGUAGCUGGUCUGAGAGGACGACCAGCCACACUGGGACUGAGACACGGCCCAGACUCCUACGGGAGGCAGCAGUGGGGAAUUUUGGACAAUGGGCGCAAGCCUGAUCCAGCAAUGCCGCGUGUGUGAAGAAGGCCUUCGGGUUGUAAAGCACUUUUGUCCGGAAAGAAAACCUUUGCCCUAAUACGGCGGGGGGAUGACGGUACCGGAAGAAUAAGCACCGGCUAACUACGUGCCAGCAGCCGCGGUAAUACGUAGGGUGCAAGCGUUAAUCGGAAUUACUGGGCGUAAAGCGUGCGCAGGCGGUCCGUUAAGACAGAUGUGAAAUCCCCGGGCUUAACCUGGGAACUGCAUUUGUGACUGGCGGACUCGAGUAUGGCAGAGGGGGGUAGAAUUCCACGUGUAGCAGUGAAAUGCGUAGAGAUGUGGAGGAAUACCGAUGGCGAAGGCAGCCCCCUGGGCCAAUACUGACGCUCAUGCACGAAAGCGUGGGGAGCAAACAGGAUUAGAUACCCUAGUAGUCC